rnacentral:rRNA from 1 species
UAGAGUUUGAUCAUGGCUCAGAUUGAACGCUGGCGGCAGGCCUAACACAUGCAAGUCGAGCGGUAAUAUGUCUAGCUUGCUAGAUGAUGACGAGCGGCGGACGGGUGAGUAAUGCUUGGGGAUCUGCCUUAGAGUGGAGGAUAACCAUUGGAAACGAUGGCUAAUACUGCAUAGUAUCUGCGGAUUAAAGGGGGCUUAGGCUCUUGCUUUAAGAUGAACCCAAGUGGGAUUAGCUAGUUGGUGAGGUAAUGGCUCACCAAGGCGACGAUCCCUAGCUGGUCUGAGAGGAUGAUCAGCCACACUGGAACUGAGACACGGUCCAGACUCCUACGGGAGGCAGCAGUGGGGAAUAUUGCACAAUGGGCGAAAGCCUGAUGCAGCCAUGCCGCGUGUGUGAAGAAGGCCCUAGGGUUGUAAAGCACUUUCAGUCAGGAGGAAAGGUUAGUAGUUAAUACCUGCUAGCUGUGACGUUACUGACAGAUGAAGCACCGGCUAACUUCGUGCCAGCAGCCGCGGUAAUACGAGGGGUGCAAGCGUUAAUCGGAAUUACUGGGCGUAAAGCGAGCGUAGGCGGCUGAAUAAGCUGGAUGUGAAAAACCGGGGCUCAACCUCGGCCGUGCAUUCAGAACUGUUUAGCUAGAGUCCUGUAGAGGGGGGUAGAAUUUCA